CAAACGACUCUCGGCAACGGAUAUCUCGGCUCACGCAUCGAUGAAGAACGUAGCAAAAUGCGAUACUUGGUGUGAAUUGCAGAAUCCCGUGAACCAUCGAGUUUUUGAACGCAAGUUGCGCCCGAGGCCAUUCGGCCAAGGGCACGUCUGCCUGGGCGUCACGC
rnacentral:rRNA from 1 species